CGGGGCGGAGGCGGAGGCGGAGGCGGAGGCGGAGGCGGAGGCGGAGGCGGAGGCGGAGGCGGAGGCGGAGGCCCAAGCCCAAGGAGCUACCUUCCUGCGUGGUCUUUCGUCUCCUUUAACUCCGUACAGCUGUGAGUUUCUGGAUGAUGGUUGAUGAAUGAAAGCAAAAUUUAUCAUCUUGUGUCCUGCUGGCAUUUCUGAAGCACAAUUAUCGUCUGGAAAUGGAACAGAAGAAUGAAUUCAUUUACUCUACAGACUCUUUUUAAAGCUACUUUCUUCAUAAAUGCUUAUUAUAUGGUUUAUUUGAUUCAGUAAAGACUGGUUAAAGAAAUUAAAUUAGAUGCAAGAAUAGAAUUAUACUGAUCACAUGUUGAUGGAAUUAAGUUAUAUUGAUUCCAUGACAACCAGUCUCAAAUAAUCAGGAUAGUUACAAUGACUAGGUACUCAAUAAAUGUUUUGCUGAAUAAAUGAAUGGGAAAAAAUACCAAAUAAAUGUCCACAUAGUUGCUUGAAAUUUUCCAGUAAACUCUACCUACUUCUGAAAUUUCUCCUGUUUCUAAUUCUCUUAGAAAGAAAAUUAAUAUCAGCAACUUACAUUUAUUAAGUUUCUACCAGGUAUCAGGCACUGUUCUAAGUGUUUUGCAUGUAUUAAUUUAAUUAUCGCAAUGCUAUGGGUUUGCUAUAAAGAUUAAAAGUAUAUAAAGUUCUUACACAAACAUGGAAAUCUGUAUCUCAUAUUAAGUUAAGAGAUUUAAUUGACAUCUUUCUAAAUUUAAUUUAACUGAGAAAUGAUAUUAUUCCCCAAUCCUCCAGUAGUACAAGUUACAUAUUUCUACAAUUGCUACAAAAGCCUCUGAUUUUAUUUUCUUUAAUUUUUAAUUUUUAUUUAUUUAUUUUUGGCGGCUUGUGGGAUAUUAGUUCCCCAACCAGGGAUUGAACCCAGGCCCUAGCAGUGAAAGCACUAAUUGCUCACCUGCCAGGGAAUUCCCAGAAGCCUCUGAUUUAUAAAUAACCAAUUCAAAUCCUUCCAGAACCUGUGAUGAUAAACCAAAGUCUGUUUGUGUGGCCUUUUGAAGUAUUUACUUUUUUUUCUAACAUAAAUAGCAUUCAACCAGGCACAUUUAAACUGUCCAAUUAAAUCUACUUUGUCUGAAAUAGCUGUUUUAUACAUCUGACCCUCUGAGUCGGCUCACAAUAGCCCAUAGGUGCCGUCAUCCUCAAUGCGCCUGGAGAAAGUGUACACAUUUGCAAAUUAUGGAAAUUCUGGAAAUUGGCUGUUGACUCUUCACAGUUUGCAUUUGUUGAUAUGCAUCGCUAAGACCUUGAUUAUCUUACAUCCUGUAUUGAUGGACAGCUCUACCCACAGAAUAUUUAUCAAGACCAGGCUACUGGGCUAUCACUAACUUCUGAGACAUCUCCCAAGGGUGUUUUACAGAGUAGGGGAUUUUAGUUUCUCUCCUGAGCUUUUUUGGUUCUAUCGGCAUUGCCAGAGGGCAGUCCUGCAUCCAUUCAAGGUGUGAAAUAGUAUUCUUGAGUGCAAAGCAUCAGCAGCAUUCCCUUACCUAUAAAUUAGGCUGACCACUGUGUUGGUUUGCCUUGGACACUCUGAGUUUAUGCCGUUUUCCCAGCCUCCCACCUAGCAUUUUUACCAGGUGUUUCAUUUUCUAAUGGCAUAUUUUUAUUAAUAGUGGAAUGAAAAGUUGGGAUGUUUUUGACAGACCUCCACUUCUUAAAAAUUGAAAUAUAGUUGAUGUACAAUAUUAUGUUUCAGGUAUGCUACAUAGUAAUUUGACAUCUGUGUGUACUGUGAAAUGAUCACCAAGCUAAGUCUAAUAACACUCUGUCCCCAUACAAAGUUAUUAUAAUAUUAUUGACCAUAUUCCUGAUGCUGUACAUCACAUCUCUGUCAUUUAUUUGUCUGUAACUGGAGGCUUGCACCUCUAAAUCUGGUUCAUCUAUUUCCCCCUCACCCCUCCUCCAUUCUGAAAACCACCUGUUUGUUCUCUAUCUCUGAAUCUGUUUUAGUUUUGUUUUCUUUGUUUUAGAUUUCACACAUAAGUGAGAUCAUGUGAUGACUGUCUUUCUCUUUCUGACUUAUUUCACUUAGCAUACAUAAUACUUUCUAUUUUGUUUUUGAUGUGGACCAUUUUUAAAGUCUUUAUUGAAUUUGUUACAGUAUUACUUCUGUUUUAUGUUUUGUUUUUUUGGCCCUGAGGCAUGUGGGAUCUUAGCUCCCCAACCAGGGAUCCCACCCACACCCCUGCAUUGGAAGGCAAAGUCUUAACCACUGGACCGUCAGGGAAGUCCCGAGCAUAAUACUUUCUAGAUCCAUCCAUGUUGUCACAAAUGGCAAGAUUUCAUAUUUUAGUAAUAUUCCAUUGUAUAU